rnacentral:lncRNA from 1 species
AAACUAUUGUUGUAUCGGACACCCCGGGUUCAUCGGACAAUACGAAAAUUGCACCCCAACGUUUAAUCUAACCACUAGCUACGCCCAAUGUUUUUCUUGUUUACAUUUUGACUAAUAAACAUAAUGUGGAAUGUAUGCGGUAAAAUGAUUGGUCAACAUUUUGUAACGGCAAUUUUGGUUGGAAGAGAAGAGUUUCCUCAGAGUGACGCCCCUUUCACGACCUUGACGAAAGUCACUACUGGCGCGCGAUUUGAAACGUCAUAUUGAACACACAAAAUGGGUUCAUCAAACAUUCUUGUAUCACUUCGUAACGAAGAAAUUGGAAUUAGAUCUACAGUACCUAGAUCCGCAACUAGAAUGCAAUUCUUUACUGUAAAAGAACUAGAAGAGUUGUACCAGCAUGAAUGGUGUUUUGACCACCCCUUUUUGUUUCACUUGCACUUAAAACUCGCAAAACUUGUGAUGAAAUAUGUUAGUGUUUCGGACAUUGUUAUGCACACGUUAAAAAGAUGGAAAAGUGAUAAAAUCAGAUCAACAAGAUAUGAAAUUGUUACGGAUAGUCAUGUAUUCCUAGUUCCUAAAGUAGCCCCGCUUGUGACUGAAGAAGAGCGCAAUAGUUUGCUUGAACUUUCUGAUGAUAUAAGAAUGCAUUCAUUGUGAGCAUUCCCGAAAUCAAGCAGUUGACAUUCAAUAAUUGAAAACAUAAUGACAAAAUUAUUCAUACUUUACUAAGGAAUAACAAUAAAUGAAAAGAAACUUUA